CUUUCUCAGGCAGCUAGUCUCUUUGCCUUGGUGGAUAGUGCUGAGUUCAAAUGAUGCCAUACAGCAGUCAUUAUGGAGCUUGCUUUGUUUCCUCAGGGCCCUCAAAAAAACACGGGCAACUACUUUAUCAUGGGAAAGAAGGAAUCAUUCCUUCAAUGACAGUCAACUUCACUAGAACCAUGGACCGGGAGUGAGGUCAUUUCUGCUAUUGAUCUGGUUCUCACGAGAUGGACUGGUGCUGAUGGGAGAAAGAUAUGUGAUGAUGACCUACUUUGUGUACAUGCUUCUCCUUCUCCGUUGUCGCUAUUGCCCAGUGGUUUUCGGAUUCAUUUGAGUAACCUCAACAAAUUAAAUGCAAGUGAUGGUUCAUUCAAACUCUCAGGAUACAUCUCACUUCAGAUUUGGAGGUUGG
rnacentral:misc_RNA from 1 species